rnacentral:rRNA from 1 species
UACGUAGGGGGCAAGCGUUGUCCGGAUUUAUUGGGCGUAAAGAGCGUGUAGGCGGUUUGGUAGGUCCGCUGUGAAAACUCGAGGCUCAACCUCGAGACGCCGGUGGAAACCAUCAGGCUAGAGUCCGGAAGAGGAGAGUGGAAUUCCUGGUGUAGCGGUGAAAUGCGCAGAUAUCAGGAGGAACACCGGUGGCGAAGGCGGGUCUCUGGGCCGAUACUGACGCUGAGGAGCGAAAGCGUGGGGAGCGAACAGG